rnacentral:rRNA from 1 species
GACGAACGCUGGCGGCGUGCCUAAUACAUGCAAGUCGAACGAACUCUGGUAUUGAUUGGUGCUUGCAUCAUGAUUUACAUUUGAGUGAGUGGCGAACUGGUGAGUAACACGUGGGAAACCUGCCCAGAAGCGGGGGAUAACACCUGGAAACAGAUGCUAAUACCGCAUAACAACUUGGACCGCAUGGUCCGAGUUUGAAAGAUGGCUUCGGCUAUCACUUUUGGAUGGUCCCGCGGCGUAUUAGCUAGAUGGUGGGGUAACGGCUCACCAUGGCAAUGAUACGUAGCCGACCUGAGAGGGUAAUCGGCCACAUUGGGACUGAGACACGGCCCAAACUCCUACGGGAGGCAGCAGUAGGGAAUCUUCCACAAUGGACGAAAGUCUGAUGGAGCAACGCCGCGUGAGUGAAGAAGGGUUUCGGCUCGUAAAACUCUGUUGUUAAAGAAGAACAUAUCUGAGGGUAACUGUUCAGGUAUUGACGGUAUUUAACCAGAAAGCCACGGCUAACUACGUGCCAGCAGCCGCGGUAAUACGUAGGUGGCAAGCGUUGUCCGGAUUUAUUGGGCGUAAAGCGAGCGCAGGCGGUUUUUUAAGUCUGAUGUGAAAGCCUUCGGCUCAACCGAAGAAGUGCAUCGGAAACUGGGAAACUUGAGUGCAGAAGAGGACAGUGGAACUCCAUGUGUAGCGGUGAAAUGCGUAGAUAUAUGGAAGAACACCAGUGGCGAAGGCGGCUGUCUGGUCUGUAACUGACGCUGAGGCUCGAAAGUAUGGGUAGCAAACAGGAUUAGAUACCCUGGUAGUCCAUACCGUAAACGAUGAAUGCUAAGUGUUGGAGGGUUUCCGCCCUUCAGUGCUGCAGCUAACGCAUUAAGCAUUCCGCCUGGGGAGUACGGCCGCAAGGCUGAAACUCAAAGGAAUUGACGGGGGCCCGCACAAGCGGUGGAGCAUGUGGUUUAAUUCGAAGCUACGCGAAGAACCUUACCAGGUCUUGACAUACUAUGCAAAUCUAAGAGAUUAGACGUUCCCUUCGGGGACAUGGAUACAGGUGGUGCAUGGUUGUCGUCAGCUCGUGUCGUGAGAUGUUGGGUUAAGUCCCGCAACGAGCGCAACCCUUAUUAUCAGUUGCCAGCAUUAAGUUGGGCACUCUGGUGAGACUGCCGGUGACAAACCGGAGGAAGGUGGGGAUGACGUCAAAUCAUCAUGCCCCUUAUGACCUGGGCUACACACGUGCUACAAUGGAUGGUACAACGAGUUGCGAACUCGCGAGAGUAAGCUAAUCUCUUAAAGCCAUUCUCAGUUCGGAUUGUAGGCUGCAACUCGCCUACAUGAAGUCGGAAUCGCUAGUAAUCGCGGAUCAGCAUGCCGCGGUGAAUACGUUCCCGGACCUUGUACACACCGCCCGUCACACCAUGAGAGUUUGUAACACCCAAAGUCGGUGGGGUAACCUUUUAGGAACCAGCCGCCUAAGGUGGGACAGAUGAUUAGGGUG